GUAAAGGCGGGUUUGUCUGUCUGCAGUCCCUGCUUCUUCCCACUGAUUCUCUCGUCUCCCCGGAGCCCCAGCUUUUUAAGGCUUCCACGUCUUGACAUUGGCGACGCCACCGAAAUGAAGACAUUCUCAAGCAAUCAGGUGCUAAAACCUGAAGAAAUGUUCCUUGGCUGCUUCCUCACUGGACUUGUGCUGAGGUAUCUAAAUGUCUACUGGGGUGAGCCAACGGAGGUGAGGGACAGUCAGAUGGUGAUAACAAGGACACCUACCAUUUCUGGAAUACUUACUGGAUGCCAGGCGCUCUGAGAAAGUCUUUAUAGCGUUUCAUCCUCACAAACCCAGGAGGCAGGUAGUAUUAUUCUUCUCACUUAAUGCAUGAGCCAUCCAAAGCUUUAAGAGGUAGUCUGUCCUGUCCAGGAUCCUGCAGUGGCAGAGCUGGUUCCGCCCAGGGCUUCAGACUCCUGAGCCCGUCCAGGAGUGAUUUCCCAUAGAAGGGGCGGGGGCCGCUCAACAGAGACACACAAGUAAGACUGUGCCAGGAGAGACCCCAUUGUUCCUCAGGCGAACUUGAACCAGCUUUAGGAUACGGAGGGGAGAGCAAUGGGAACAUCCCUUGCUUCUUGUCCAAAUUCAAAGAGGGGAUCCAAGGUUCAGUCAGGAAGACUCUUUUUUUAAUCAAUUGUUUUUUGUUUUCAGAAUAAAGCGGCAAUGACCCAGUGAGGAAGGAAAAUGAGCACAGCCUGCCCUGGUCACACAAUUAAAACAUAUACGCUGGCCAAAGGUACUGCCCUCCUCCACCUCUUCCUUCAGAGAGAGAAGGGCCCUUUUUGACCUGGAAGCCUAUUAAAGCAUUCCACUGGGGAAUUCUCUGACCCUUCUGAAGGGAUGCUGUGAGAAACCUUGUUCCUUAGAAUGCAGCCACACAAAGGGUUUUGUGCAAAUACUGAGCCAUUAUUCUGUAAAUGCAAAGAAGCAUUAGGGAUGGUAUGUGAACAAAAACUGGACAGAGGAUGCACGCCCAGAUGCUGUCUUGGCCAGGUUGCAAUUUGAAUGAUCUAAUGUUUUCUGGCUCCUUCUUACUUUGCUUUUCCAAUUUGGUUUGAAUAUUUGCAUUACUGUAUUAUUUUCCCUGUACAAUUGCUGUUGUCUGUACACAAUUAGGUCAUUUUUAUAGUUGGGUGAGGAGAUGCUUCAGACGUGAGAGGAGCUACAGUUGGUAGCUGGCUCCCCCCUGGGAUGUACGCUGAGAUCCCCAUUCCAUUGGUUCCAAAGACUCUACCUGUGCCCAGGUCCUGA
rnacentral:lncRNA from 1 species